rnacentral:rRNA from 1 species
GGACGAACGCUGGCGGCGUGCUUAACACAUGCAAGUCGAACGGUAAGGCCCCAGCUUGCUGGGGUACACGAGUGGCGAACGGGUGAGUAACACGUGGGUGACCUGCCCCGCACUUCGGGAUAAGCCUGGGAAACUGGGUCUAAUACCGGAUAGGACCGCACCGUGAGGGUGUGGUGGAAAGUUUUUCGGUGUGGGAUGGGCCCGCGGCCUAUCAGCUUGUUGGUGGGGUAAUGGCCUACCAAGGCGGCGACGGGUAGCCGGCCUGAGAGGGUGGACGGCCACAUUGGGACUGAGACACGGCCCAGACUCCUACGGGAGGCAGCAGUGGGGAAUAUUGCACAAUGGGCGGAAGCCUGAUGCAGCGACGCCGCGUGGGGGAUGACGGCCUUCGGGUUGUAAACUCCUUUCACCAUCGACGAAGGUUUUCUGACGGUAGAUGGAGAAGAAGCACCGGCUAACUACGUGCCAGCAGCCGCGGUAAUACGUAGGGUGCGAGCGUUGUCCGGAAUUACUGGGCGUAAAGAGCUCGUAGGUGGUUUGUCGCGUCGUCUGUGAAAUUCCGGGGCUUAACUCCGGGCGUGCAGGCGAUACGGGCAUAACUUGAGUACUGUAGGGGAGACUGGAAUUCCUGGUGUAGCGGUGAAAUGCGCAGAUAUCAGGAGGAACACCGGUGGCGAAGGCGG